rnacentral:misc_RNA from 1 species
GUGAAUCAUCAAAUUUUUGAACGCAAAUUGCACUCUCUUCGGAGAGUAUGCCUGUUUGAGGGUCAGCCUAAAAAAAAUCGACGUAGUCGCUGUUUCGCGGUGACAUUCGUCGGAAAUUGGGUCAUCUUAAACCUUUGGUUUUUUUAAGCGGCUUAAAAUUUUCUUUACGAUUCCACGAACGCUUCUAAGAUUUACUUACACGUUUAAAGUAUCUAUCUUUACUAGACGUUGCCGUUGCAUCGGAUCCCUUCCAUAAAUAUUUCUCUAACUGACCUCAUACAGUUAUGAACACCUGCUGAA